UAGUCAUAUGCUUGUCUCAAAGAUUAAGCCAUGCAUGUCUAAGUAUAAACAAUUUAUACAGUGAAACUGCGAACGGCUCAUUAAAUCAGUCAUAGUUUAUUUGAUAUUGACUUGCUACAUGGAUAACCGUGGUAAUUCUAGAGCUAAUACAUGCGUAAAGGCCCUUUCGGGGGCUGUAUUUAUUAGAUUUAAGCCAACCCGGGCGACCGGCAGGUGGUGAUUCAUAGUAACUGGGCGAAUCGCUGCGGCGAUGCAUCAUUCAGAUUUCUGCCCUAUC
rnacentral:rRNA from 1 species